rnacentral:rRNA from 1 species
CAGCCGCCGCGGUAAUACAGAGGGUGCGAGCGUUAAUCGGAUUUACUGGGCGUAAAGCGUGCGUAGGCGGCUUUUUAAGUCGGAUGUGAAAUCCCUGAGCUUAACUUAGGAAUUGCAUUCGAUACUGGGAAGCUAGAGUAUGGGAGAGGAUGGUAGAAUUCCAGGUGUAGCGGUGAAAUGCGUAGAGAUAUGGAGGAAUACCGAUGGCGAAGGCAGCCAUCUGGCCUAAUACUGACGCUGAGGUACGAAAGCAUGGGGAGCAAACAGGAUUAGAUACCCGAGUAGUCCCUGUCUCUUAUAC